GUUUCCAAGCGCGUGGAGGAAAGCGCAUUCUUUGUUAUUUAUCUCCGGUAAAGACAAUAACGAUUCUCCGUCUUAAAUUUUAUUGUUUAUUUGCGUAUUAUGGUACCUAAGGUUUGAUUAUAAACGUUGAUUGACUUGUUUGGAUAGGUUUAUUGGUAACAUUUAGGAUUCAUUUUGUAUGCAUUUUGAAGGAGGGAAAACGUUGGAUUAUUGACUGAAGCGCACCAGCUAAACUGAGUUUUUAUGGAUAUAAGGAAGGACUUUAUUGAACAAAAGGACCAUUUGGGACCAAAAGGACCAUUUGUAAUGAGACCUUUUGGAGUGCCAACAGAAGAAGAUCUUCAAAGAUCAAGGUGGGGACGGUUGCACCCCCUGUUUCUGAGACACUUCCAACCACCAACAUGCCCCCUCCUGAGUAUGAGGAGGAGGUUACCUCCUCCUCACACUGACUUCAUCAAGCUCGAACAACAACAUCCAGACUCUCCCCGUGGACACAUUCUGUUACAGCCAUGACUGUAACUAUAUACGAUGCUCCCUGGAAGACAUCAGGCUGGACAGAAAUCCCAUAAACAUCAACCUGUACGCCUCCUCCUAUAUCUGCCUGCCUCACCUGCCCGUCGGGAGUCACUGAGGGGGGGCAUUGAGGGGGCAUGGGGG
rnacentral:lncRNA from 1 species